rnacentral:rRNA from 1 species
GGGCCCGCACAAGCGGUGGAGCAUGUGGUUUAAUUCGAAGCAACGCGAAGAACCUUACCAAGGCUUGACAUCCCGCUGAUCGGCAUAGAGAUAUGCUUUCUCUUCGGAGCAGCGGAGACAGGUGGUGCAUGGUUGUCGUCAGCUCGUGUCGUGAGAUGUUGGGUUAAGUCCCGCAACGAGCGCAACCCUUAUUCUUAGUAGCCAGCAGGUUAAGCUGGGCACUCUAGGAAGACUGCCGUGGACAACACGGAGGAAGGUGGGGAUGACGUCAAAUCAUCAUGCCCCUUAUGUCUUGGGCAACACACGUGCUACAAUGGCCGGAACAAAGGGAAGCAAGCAUGCGAAUGUAAGCAAACCCCAAAAAUCCGGUCUCAGUUCGGAUCGCAGUCUGCAACUCGACUGCGUGAAGCUGGAAUCGCUAGUAAUCGCGAAUCAGCAUGUCGCGGUGAAUACGUUCCCGGGCCUU